AAUUAGAAAAUAUUAUAGUACUAUCUAUUAUCUGGAACUAGGCUGGAAUACUAUUAAUAGCACCAAACUAUUGGUGUUAUUAGUUUUUUAACCCUUGGAUCGAGAAAUGUGUGGUUAGGAUGAUGUGGGCCCCCUAGGGUUGAGUGGUUGGUUGGUUGAAUAGUAUAAUUUAACGGAUAAAAAUAAUUAAGGAUUAAAUCUAAUGGUAGAAAACACAAUAGCACCAAACUCUUGGUAUUAUUGAUAGUAUCCCAGUCGGACUCCUGUUAUCUAUUAUAUAUUACUAUAUUACUAUAUCUUUACUAUAUACUAAAGUCCGUGAAGUGAGGUUUG
rnacentral:lncRNA from 1 species